UUCCAUGCGCUGGGCCGAGGCGGGACAAUGGCGGUCUGGCAGUGCAUCAACUUUCACAAGGCCUGGAGUAGAGUCUGGCGAUGCUGGGACCUGUCCAACAUGGGAUUUGCACUGCUCUCAUUUGGGAGGUGUGGGUGAUCCCCUGCCCAUGGAUCAUGGAGGGGACCUAUCUUCACUCUGUACAAUGAGUCAGACAGGGCUUGUUGGCAUCAUUCAGACCCCCAAGCAAUUGUCUGGAUAGCUCACCUGCUAGAUGAAUGGAACUUGAGUCGGAGCAGCCACUGCACGAGGAAUCUCUCAGCAAAUGGAAGCGGCUGAGAACUGUCUUAUCAGGAGCCAGCACAGUAAUCCUGAUGCCCAGAGGAACAUGAUGGGCACUUUGCAAGGGGCUGAAAUUCUGGAAUGGUGUUUGAUAGCAAAGUCAAAGUGGAACAAGAAGCUGAAAAGCAGGCCAAGACUGGGCUAUAACUGCUAUAGCUUCCUCCUUUGGAACUUUGACUUUACAUUUCUCUUGAAAACCUAUUUCUGGGCUUCCUGCAUCAUCUUGCUGUGCCAGGGCACCUUUGCUGCCUGCCACUUUAAGGGCUAGAACAAGCAGCAGAGCAGCCUACAGAUGGCUGCUUUUCCAGUCAGGAGUCAAAUGACCAGCAGGAGGCUGCCUGAUUGGGAAUGGGGCACAGCUGCUAGGGAUCAGAGCAGGCCCUGGGAAGUAGGGCCAGCAGUUGCUGGAAGCAGCCAGGGAGGGAGCGUCACCUGGCUGGAGCUGCUGCUCACAGAACACCUGGAGGUCAGGAUAGGAACUAUGGGGAUGGAGGAGGUUCCUAGGGUCCAGGCACACUUUUAGAGACACCCAAGUCCCAUGGGACAUAGGCCUUGAGGCCCCAGCAAGGGGACAUAAAAAGUAGUAGGGUCCAUAUGGGGACCUGAAGGACUGUGCUGAAGGGACAUAGAGUAGGGUCCAUGUCAGCAGGCCUGAAGGGCUGAGCAGGGGCAUGCAGGGUAAGGUCCGAGCAGGGCCUGAAGGACUGCACGUAGGACGGUUCCACUAGUUCAUUGAGUUGAGGCCCAGUGAUAGGGCAUCAGCUGGAGGCGCAGGGUGGUCUCUGGACGCCUGAGGUGGUUUGGGCCAGAGUCCAAGUGCUGCCCAGCACUUGGGGCCAGGGGAAUUGGGGGUAAGUUGGAUGCCAUCUGUGAAGUAUGGGACACAGUAUAGGGGAGGUCAGAGCCAUGUAUAAUGCCCUUGACAUCAGAGCAUUAAAAUGGGCAGCCUCCCACCUUAAUAUCAGUUUUAUCAAAGGCAUGGCAGGUGAGCAGGCCAAUGACUUUGACUGGCUGUGAGUUGGCUCCCAUCACACUUGUACAGAAAAUCCUUGUUGCUUUUCCCUAGUCACGUGUACACCCCAAGCUGCCCAGGACAGAGAGUCAUCUGGCAUAUGCUGGGAAAGUAGUCCUUGAAUAAAAACCCCUUUUGGUAUAAAGAUGCUUGGUCUUUUUUGCAAGUCUUUCCUCUAUUAGGGGCAUUUGGAAAUAAAGCCACUAUUGGAAACUUU